rnacentral:lncRNA from 1 species
AUAUUUACGAUUGUUCUAAACCUUCAUCAUUUUUGUAAUUAGUUUCCUGCAUAAAUAACUUGAUCUCAAUAUGUUUGUGUUUAAUCUCUCAUAGCUUUAUUUGAGAAUCUAUACAAUGAAAAAGUUUCUACACAUUAUAAGUUGUUAUUUCCUAUCAAGUGGCAUCUUGAUGUAUUUUUAAUGCUCCAUAUCUUAAUACCUUUGGAAUAAUAAUUUGUUGGACUUAAACAAUUAACAGUUAAAAAUUUAAGCAUAAGUUGUUGAUAGUGUGUAACUUUAUUGACAACCUACUUCUGAAGUUAUUUCUAUCAAACACAUAACAACUUCUUAUUGAAAGUACUUUCACUGAUAAACUAUUUAACAUCAAUUUUGUAACUUAGCACAAGCUAUAGUCAUGCCAAAUAUACUUACUCUAUUACAUAUGUGAAGCAUGGGUUGAGGAUGCAACUUUAAAAAUAAUAUUAUAUCCUAAAUUAAACCAAUUGAUGUUUAUCUUUGUAAAUCUUGUUCGACAUCAUUAUUUUUCUCCCAUGAUUAAUCCAAUUGAUAUUUUCUCCCUUUUCCUUGUUUUUCUUCAACUUGUUCAACGUUUUACCCUCUUUUCUUUUCUUUUUUUUUUUUCCUUUUCUGAUGUCUUUUUUUAACCCCAUUUUUCUCUCAUCUCUUUUUGUGAAUAAUCUCUU